AAUUUUCAAACUCGUCGAAUAAUCACACAAAAUCAGAAGCAAAAAUAUCUGCGACUUUUUAAACAGGAGAGUCUUUAAAAAAUCGAAACUAGUGACAAAGUUUGCAGAAAAAUAAAUCAGCGCUUUAAUGAAAGGAUGAUUUCAAUGAACAUAACAAAGGAGAAUUUUCAAACUCGUCGAAUAAGCUCACAAAAUCAGAAGCAAAAAAUUUCGGCAACUUUUUAAACAGGAGAAUUUUCAAACUCGUCGAAUAAUCUCACAAAAUAAGAAGCAAACAUUUCGGCGACAUUUUUAACAGGAGAAUUUUCAAACUCGUCGAAUAACCUCACAAAAUAAGAAGGAAACAUUUCGGCGAUAUUUUUAACAGGAGAAUUUUCACACUCGUCGAAUUGUCUCACAAAACAAGUAGGAAAAAUUUCGGAGACCUGUUUAACAGGUAUAUUCGAAUGACCGUUAGAAAAAAAGCAAAACAUCAAGAUCAAGAUAAUCAAUGGAGAAUUUUCAAACUCGUCGAAUAAUCUCACAAAAUAAGAUGGAAACAUUUCGGCGACAUUGUUAACAGGAGAUUUUCAAACUCGUCGAAUAAGCUCACAAAAUAAGAAGGAAACAUUUCGGCGACAUUUUUAACAGGAGAAUUUUCAAACUCGUCGAAUAAUCUAACAAAAUAAGAAGAAAAAAUUUCGGUGAAUUUUUUAACAGGAGAAUAUUCACACUCGUCGAAUAGUCUCACAAAAUAAGUAGGAAAAAUUUCGGAGACUUUUUUAACAGGAGAAUUUUCAAACUCGUCGAAUAACCUCACAAAAUAAGAAGGAAACAUUUCGGCGACAUUUUUAACAUGUAUAUUCGAAUGACCGUUGGACAAAAAGCAAAACAUCAAGUAGAAGAUAAUCAACUGUACAAUUAUUCUACCUAAUAAGACGGCUCUGUUGGGUGUGGUUUAAUUUUGUUGAACAUAUUGACUAAAAAAAGCAGGCACGUAAAACAAUCUCAUCCAUAAGUAUUUUCGAAUAAAAGAGCGUUUUUCUAUUGCAAGGAGAGUCUUAAA